GAUUAUGGCUCAGGAUGAACGCUGGCGGUGUGCCUAAUACAUGCAAGUCGAUCGGGCGUAGCAAUACGUCAGAGGCGUACGGGUGAGUAACACGUAGGUAACCUACCUUUAAGACUGGGAUACCCAGACGAAAGUUUGGCUAAUACCGGAUAACAACAUUUGAGACAUCUCUUUUGUUUGAAAGGCGCUGCAAGGCGCCACUUUUAGAUGGACCUGCGUCGCAUUAGCUAGUUGGUGAGAUAAAAGCCCACCAAGGCUGGGAUGCGUAGCCGAUCUGAGAGGAUGACCGGCCACAAUGGGACUGAGACACGGCCCAUACUCCUACGGGAGGCAGCAGUAGGGAGUUUUCGGCAAUGGGGGAAACCCUGACCGAGCAACACCGCGUGAGUGAUGAAGGUCUUCGGAUCGUAAAGCUCUGUUACGAGGGACGAAUGAUCGCUUUAGGAAAUGAGAGCGGUUUGACGGUACCUCGCCAGAAAGCGACGGCUAACUACGUGCCAGCCGCAGC
rnacentral:rRNA from 1 species